rnacentral:rRNA from 1 species
CAGUCGCCGCGGGAAUACGUAGGGUGCGAGCGUUAAUCGGAAUUACUGGGCGUAAAGCGUGCGCAGGCGGUGAUGUAAGACAGUUGUGAAAUCCCCGGGCUCAACCUGGGAACUGCAUCUGUGACUGCAUCGCUGGAGUGCGGCAGAGGGGGAUGGAAUUCCGCGUGUAGCAGUGAAAUGCGUAGAUAUGCGGAGGAACACCGAUGGCGAAGGCAAUCCCCCGGGCCUGCACUGACGCUGAGGCACGAAAGCGUGGGGAGCAAACAGGAUUAGAUACCCCUGUAGUCCCUGUCUCUUAUAC